GACUGCUGCUGUGGAGCAGCUCUUGCCCACUGCAGCUUUUUUCCCACCAGGACAGCCCAAUCCACAGCACUUACAGGACAGAAGUACAGACUGCUGCCUCUGUGCAAGAUAUUUCCUUCCACUCUGUUCAUGCAAGCCCAAAGAAGAGAAGGUGAAGACAAAAGAGAGACUCAUAGCAGCAAGGAGAAAGGAAAGAGGCACCUCAGUAAAUCUUGGAUUCACAUUCUCAGUGUGAACUGGUUUGAACUAGUAAGCUCAUAAUUGCCUAAAUCAAAACAGGCACCUAGUCAAGAUGGCUCCUACAUUAAUCAGCAUCAGUUACACUUUGAA